rnacentral:rRNA from 1 species
AGUGAACGCUGGCGGUAGGCCUAACACAUGCAAGUCGAACGGCAGCACAGUAAGAGCUUGCUCUUACGGGUGGCGAGUGGCGGACGGGUGAGGAAUACAUCGGAAUCUACUUUUUCGUGGGGGAUCACGUAGGGAAACUUACGCUAAUACCGCAUACGACCUACGGGUGAAAGCAGGGGAUCUUCGGACCUUGCGCGAUUGAAUGAGCCGAUGUCGGAUUAGCUAGUUGGCGGGGUAAAGGCCCACCAAGGCGACGAUCCGUAGCUGGUCUGAGAGGAUGAUCAGCGACACUGGAGGGGGAACACGGACCAGACUACUAAGAGAGGGAGCAGUGGGGAAUAUUGGACAGUGGGCGCAAGCCUGAUCCAGCCAGACCGCGUGGGUGAAGAAGGCCUUCGGGUUGUAAAGCCCUUUUGUGGGGAAAGAAAAGCAGCAGGUUAAGACCCAGCUGUUCUGACGGUACCCAAAGAAUAAGCACCGGCUAACUUCGUG